rnacentral:rRNA from 1 species
AUGCUUGCUCCUCAUCUCUACCGUCCAACACCACCAGUGUGCACAAACACCCCGCACUGCUGUCGCUGCUGCUGCACGGCUUUGCUGCUCAAGCUCAACCGCAAACAUCAUGCUGAGCACAGCCAGCGCAUCGCCCCGGAGCACCCACGCGAGGCUUCCAGCCAGCACACUAGCACGCAUGCACACAUCAUGCACCCAUCGGCCAUCACCGUAGCAAGGACACAUCACACGCUAGCACAUGCACGGACGCACGCACGCGCAAGCAGCAGCCGUUCGCCAUGGCAUACAUCCUCCAGGCCUCCAGGGCACGACAAGAGGGCCUCGCCUCUGGGUCCAGCUACCGCACGAGGCAUGAGCCCAUGGCGAGGGCCAACGAGUGAGGUGAGCGAGUGCGGCAACGAUGAUGCACACGUACAGUGGUGGAGCUGCGGAAGACGGCGGGGAGCCCUGCGCGUCGCAGCGCCAACAUCGUGCCCUGGAAGAUCUUCCUGGGGAAGAAGGCAUGGAAGAAAGAAGAGCCUUCCGAUUUGA